GCCGCCUGAGGUAGCGGCGGUGCACUACCUGAGGUGGAAAAGCCCUGGCUAGUGUGUUGUAGGCUAGCCUGCUGGUGUACAGGCCUCCUAACACGCGCAUAGGCAUACUGCGUAUAGGUGCCAAGUGCAUAUGGCCUAUCAGUGCUGGCCUGCAGUGCGAACAGUGCGUGCACAGUGUGCGAUGCCUAUUGUGCACACAUUCCGUACGUGCGGAAGGGACGUACACGCCUGCGGAAGGGACGUGCACACAUUCCACGCCUAUUGUGCCUGCAUGCACGCGCGCACAGUGCCCAACACCUGCGCGAGCAACCUGUCUCCUCGCAGGAUUUUUUCCUCAGGACUUUCUUCCCAAUUCACCGUUUUUUCGAUUUUUCUCAAUUUUUUUAAUUAAUUAAAAUAAGUUAAGCACAAAAUAAUAAAAUUUAAAAUUAAAUAAAUUUCAAUAAAAAUAAAUUAAAUAAUAAUUAACUAGAUUUACGAGCAGAGUAAAUUAAUUUUAAUGUGGUCAAAUGCCUGAAUAAAUAAGGUUCUCAAAUCAUUUAAGCACAGUGGUGGGCGAGGUGUAUAGGCC
rnacentral:lncRNA from 1 species